rnacentral:lncRNA from 1 species
GAUCCCAUGGGCAUAUUAUUAAACUGCCUUUCUGAUGUUCAUAUUUAAUAGAGCUAUACUCAAUAGUGCGAGGGAAACUUCUCCACAGUAGUCAGCGAUGAAUGUAAAGAUGCUGAGAAUAAAUGACUAUUGAGCACCCUAGAUGGGACAUUUAUAUCACUCCCGCCCCAACCAAGGCUUGAGGAACACCAGAUAGGAUAGAUAGAACGCCAGAGUCUGAGGACAGAUGGGCAUGGUACAACCUUCAGGAUGUGACAUUGCCGUGAACUCAUUGCAGCUGUGGCUAUUAGACAAAAUCAAGCCUGCAGGAUUACUCAACAUUCCAACAAUUAGCACGGACUGGACUCAGUGGGUGUCUUGGGGUUACUGCCGUUGUGAUGCGAUACCAGAGCAAAAGCACCCCAGGAGGAAAGAGUUUAUAUGGUUUACAUUUCUAGAGUCAUAGCUCACUGAGGGGCGCCAAGGCAGUACUGAGACCAGGCAGAACCUGGAGGCAGGAGAAGCUUACUGGCUUGCUCCUCAUGACUUCCUCAGCCCGCUUUCUUAUAGAACCCAGGACCAACAGCUCAGUGGGUGGCACUACCCAUGGGAUCACUCAGACGCUGACUCCAUGGCAGUCUUCAAUCUGGUAGGUCAGGAGACUAGACCUAAACAUUUGUUUCCCAGAACUAGACAAAUCCAGGCAAGUCAGUUAUUGGAAAAACCCUAGGCCUCAGGCAGCCAAUCAGAAACUGCCUCACCAUCAGAGGCUGCCCACCACCUGGCCUCAGGCAGCCAAUCAGAAACUGCCUCACCAUCAGAGGCUGCCCACCACCUGGCCUCAGGCAGCCAAUCAGAAACUGCCUCACCAUCAGAGGCUGCCCACCACCUGGCCUCAGGCAGCCAAUCAGAAACUGCCUCACCAUCAGAGGCUGCCCACCACCUGGCCUCAGUAG